UGGCUGGCGAUAGAUCAUUCAAGUUUCUGACCUAUCAGCUUUCGACGGUAGUGUAUUGGACUACCGUGGCAGUGACGGGUAACGGGGAAUUAGGGUUCGAUUCCGGAGAGGGAGCCUGAAAAACGGCUACCACAUCUAAGGAAGGCAGCAGGCGCGCAAAUUACCCAAUCCUGACUCAGGGAGGUAGUGACAAGAAAUAACAACACUGGAAAUUUUAUUUCUAGUGAUUGGAAUGAUGGGAAUUUAAACCCCUUUCAGAGUAACAAUUGGAGGGCAAGUCUGGUGCCAGCAGCCGCGGUAAUUCCAGCUCCAAUAGCGUAUAUUAAAGUUGUUGCAGUUAAAAAGCUCGUAGUUGGAUAUCUGCUGGAAGCAAUCAGUCCGCCCUAUUUGUAGGGUGUGCACUUGAUGAAUUCUGGCAUCUAUGUCCCGAUAAUAUAACGUGGAGGUCGUCCUCCCGUUUAUUGGGAACAUACUGUUACUUUGAGAAAAUUAGAGUGUUUGAAGCAGGCUAAUUGCCUUGAAUACUGCAGCAUGGAAUAACAAUAUAGGAUUUCGGUUCUAUUUUGUUGGUUUCUAGGACUGAAAUAAUGAUUAAUAGGGACAGUUGGGGGCAUUCGUAUUUAACUGUCAGAGGUGAAAUUCUUAGAUUUGUUAAAGACGAACUACUGNGAAAGCAUUUGCCAAAGAUGUUUUCAUUAAUCAAGAACGAAAGUUAGGGGCUCGAAGACGAUCAGAUACCGUCGUAGUCUUAACCAUAAACUAUGCCGACUAGAGAU
rnacentral:rRNA from 1 species